UCCUACGGGAGGCAGCAGUGGGGAAUAUUGGACAAUGGGCGAAAGCCUGAUCCAGCAAUGCCGCGUGAGUGAUGAAGGCCUUAGGGUUGUAAAGCUCUUUUACCCGGGAUGAUAAUGACAGUACCGGGAGAAUAAGCUCCGGCUAACUCCGUGCCAGCAGCCGCGGAAU
rnacentral:rRNA from 1 species